rnacentral:rRNA from 1 species
AUACGGAGGGUGCAAGCGUUACUCGGAAUCACUGGGCGUAAAGCGCGCGCAGGCGGCUUGAUAAGUUGGAUGUGAAAGCCUACGGCUCAACCGUAGAACUGCAUCCAAAACUGUCAGGCUAGAGUGUGGGAGAGGAAGAUGGAAUUAGUUGUGUAGGAGUAAAAUCCGUAGAGAGAACUAGGAAUACCAAAAGCGAAGGCAAUCUUCUAGAACACUACUGACGCUGAGGCGCGAAGGCGUGGGGAGCAAACAGGAGUAGAUACCCUGGUAGUCC